UACGUAGGGGGCAAGCGUUGUCCGGAUUUAUUGGGCGUAAAGAGCGUGUAGGCGGCCAAGUAAGUCUGCUGUGAAAACUCGAGGCUUAACCUCGAGAUGUCGGCGGAAACCAUCUGGCUAGAGUCCGGAAGAGGAGAAUGGAAUUCCCGGUGUAGCGGUGAAAUGCGCAGAUAUCGGGAAGAACACCCGUGGCGAAGGCGGUUCUCUGGGACGGUACUGACGCUGAGACGCGAAAGCGUGGGGAGCGAACAGG
rnacentral:rRNA from 1 species